GCUGAGCGUGGUGGCGCAUGCUUGUAAUCCCAGGAGUUCCGGAGGCUGAGGCAGGAGGAUAGCGAGUUCAAAGCCAGCCUCAGCUAAAAUGAGGUGCUAAGCAACUCAGUGAGACCCUGUCUCUA
rnacentral:sRNA from 1 species